UACGUAGGUGGCAAGCGUUGUCCGGAUUUACUGGGCGUAAAGAGCGCGCAGGCGGUCGUUCAAGUCGCGUGUGAAAGCCCCCCGGCUCAACUGGGGAGGGUCACGCGAUACUGAUCGACUCGAAGGCAGGAGAGGGUAGUGGAAUUCCCGGUGUAGUGGUGAAAUGCGUAGAUAUCGAGAGGAACACCGGUGGCGAAGGCGGCGAUCUGGACGAUGACUGACGCUGAGACGCGAAAGCUAGGGGAGCAAACAGG
rnacentral:rRNA from 1 species